ACGCUGGCGGCAGGCCUAACACAUGCAAGUCGAGCGGCAGCGGGAAGUAGCUUGCUACUUUGCCGGCGAGCGGCGGACGGGUGAGUAAUGUCUGGGAAACUGCCUGAUGGAGGGGGAUAACUACUGGAAACGGUAGCUAAUACCGCAUGACCUCGCAAGAGCAAAGUGGGGGACCUUCGGGCCUCACGCCAUCGGAUGUGCCCAGAUGGGAUUAGCUAGUAGGUGGGGUAAUGGCUCACCUAGGCGACGAUCCCUAGCUGGUCUGAGAGGAUGACCAGCCACACUGGAACUGAGACACGGUCCAGACUCCUACGGGAGGCAGCAGUGGGGAAUAUUGCACAAUGGGCGCAAGCCUGAUGCAGCCAUGCCGCGUGUGUGAAGAAGGCCUUAGGGUUGUAAAGCACUUUCAGCGAGGAGGAAGGGUUCAGUGUUAAUAGCACUGUGCAUUGACGUUACUCGCAGAAGAAGCACCGGCUAACUCCGUGCCAGCAGCCGCGGUAAUACGGAGGGUGCAAGCGUUAAUCGGAAUUACUGGGCGUAAAGCGCACGCAGGCGGUUUGUUAAGUCAGAUGUGAAAUCCCCGAGCUUAACUUGGGAACUGCAUUUGAAACUGGCAAGCUAGAGUCUUGUAGAGGGGGGUAGAAUUCCAGGUGUAGCGGUGAAAUGCGUAGAGAUCUGGAGGAAUACCGGUGGCGAAGGCGGCCCCCUGGACAAAGACUGACGCUCAGGUGCGAAAGCGUGGGGAGCAAAC
rnacentral:rRNA from 1 species